rnacentral:ncRNA from 2 species
GUGCUCGCUUCGGCAGCACAUAUACU